AGGACGAACGCUGGCGGCGCGCCUAACACAUGCAAGUCGAGCGAGAACCAGGGCUUGCCCUGGGGAAAGCGGCGAACGGGUGCGUAACACGUGAGCAACCUGCCCCAAAGACCGGGACAACCCGAGGAAACUCGGACUAAUACCGGAUGCCCUCACCGGGCCGCAUGGUCUGGUGAGGAAAUGGAUUCCGCUUUGGGAUGGGCUCGCGGUCUAUCAGCUUGUUGGUGGGUAACGCCUACCAAGGCGACGACGGAUAGCUGGUCUGAGAGGACGAUCAGCCACACUGGGACUGAGACACGGCCCAGACUCCUACGGGAGGCAGCAGUGGGGAAUCUUGCGCAAUGGGGGAAACCCUGACGCAGCGACGCCGCGUGCGGGAUGAAGGCCUUCGGGUUGUAAACCGCUUUCAGCAGGGACGAAUUGACGGUACCUGCAGAAGAGGCCCGGCCACUACGUGCCAGCAGCCGC
rnacentral:rRNA from 1 species